ACUCAGCCUUGGGGGCACUUCC
rnacentral:miRNA from 1 species